rnacentral:lncRNA from 1 species
UUUGUCAUUUUACAUGGCUGAAACUUGCCAAAAAUAUUGUUCAUGUUAGGGGUGAGAGGAGAGAUCCUGAAAUCCUGCCUUUUCCUUUUGGUACAAAGAGUCAUCUACCUCACCCAACCAUUGAAAGUGACCUAGGAGAAUUUGAACCUCAGAGAGAGAGAGAGAGAGACCCAACCAUUGAAAGUGACCUAGGAGAAUUUGAACCUCAGAGAGAGAGAGAGAGAGAACUCUCUUUUUGUGAAUUUCAUGGCUGAUAUUUACCAAGAGAAAUUGGACAUUACAUAGAGAGAGAGAGUUAUCUUUCACACCACAGAGAGAGAGUUUGUAAUUUAGAGAGAGAGAGAGUUCUCUUUCACACUACAGAGAGAGAGUUCUCUUUCACACUACAGAGAGAGAGUUCUCUUUCACACUACAGAAAGAGACAGUUUUGUAAUUUAGAGAGAGAGUUCUCCUCUUUCUGGAAAUUUUAUGGCUGGCAUAUACCUAGAGAACUUGGGCAAGAGAGAGAUUGUAAUGUGAAGAGCUGAAUUUAUAAUUUAUUUGGCUGAUACUUUCUAAAAAAAGUUGCAUAUUAACAUAGAGAGAGAGAAAGAGG